GUGUGAAAAACCAUAGCAGCCUGCCCUACCUAGAUAACAUCUAUCAACUAAGUCCAGUCUCCAGCGCGAAUUAAACACUACUUGGGGCUAGGUACCUCUCCUGGUGAAUGCCCAUCCUGACCUGGUCUGUAUCGGUGCCGUAACCAUGAGGUAGCUGAGGAAAGCUAGACCCAGGUCCAAGCCCAGGCUUUCUAUGAACUGAGACACUAGGCACCUCCUGAAAGCCAACCACCAGGGGGUCUCCUACCACUCUCUGUGAAGGCUGAAGCCCAGGGUGACCUGCUCUGUUCAUCAUGGAUACUGUGGUGUUUGCAUCAUAGGAACAGGAGGGUCUAUCUCUAUCAGCCCCAGGCCCUGCUUCAUCCGUGCACUGAGACUGUGAAGAGAAGGGUCUGGGCUGCAGACUGGAUCCCUGACUGGAGCCUCUGUCUAUCUGAUGACCACCAGGACUGAGGUUGUUCAGUCCACCUGUCCAUUGUUUUGUGUGGUGGGGAUGGAGUUUUUAUCCCCCGUGGUUUGUAUUUUUAUUUAUUAUGGAUCCCCAUUAGCUGGAGUCCAGCGAAAUUAAGGCAGUUCAUACAAUUUAAAAAACAUUACAAUAUAUUUACAGAUUUCACAACACACUUUUUGCCCUCAGGCCCCUACUCCACAACUACCACAUAUCUACAGUACAAAAUCCAUGUGUGCGUUGUUGUGGAAUAAUCAGAAUUUGUUUUUAACAUAUGUAAGAUGUUUUAUAUUCAUCAUAUGUUUGUAAGUUACUUCUCAUCAAGAAUAGUAUUUUUGUAUAAUACUGUGGCGAGGUUGCAGUUAUCUGUUCUAUGUCAAGACUAAGUUGCAUGGGCCGCAGAGGGGGGAGAGGUCAAAGUAUCAUCAUGUGUAAACAUAUCUUUUGCUCCACAAUGUCUGUGUGCCAGUCAGUGUGUCUCUGUGAGUUUGUCCAGGAUUGGUUGUAUUUAGAAUUGGUUCUAUCUAAAUGACAAUUUUAUAUAUAUCAGAGGGUGGGGGUAAUGUCUUGGUACCAUUUUGUACCAAGGACGAGAUAAGAGCUUUGUUUAGGAGACCAAACUGAACAAUAAUUUAUAGCCAACUCUGUCUUCUUUGGGGAUACUCCUCUCUGAAUUAAAGUCUUUCUUUGUGUAA